GGUCUCGGCCCGAACCUGCCCACAAGGUCGAACGCCCAGUGUGCGAAAAAAAAAAAAAAAAAAAAAAAAAAAAAA
rnacentral:ribozyme from 1 species